rnacentral:tRNA from 1 species
GGUCGCAUGGCCUAAUGGCAAGGCGUUGGACUUCGGCGACAGUUGGUUUCCAAAGAUUGUCGGUUCGAUCCCGGCUGCGACCU